CGAACAUUUAUUGAAGGAAUGAAUGAAAGUGAGUGCCUCUUGGCUGUCAAAGGGGUUCGAAUUGCUAAAACCCCAUAAGGGCCCAGGGCAGUUUCACCAUUAGGGCAGCCUGGCACCUGGUUCGAGAGAACAGCACUGCAUAUGCUCACAGGCGAUUGCAUUUGCGUGUCUCAAACACUUGCCUGAAACUAGUACAGAAUUUCAUCUGAUUUCUGAUGACUCCCAUCCCUCCUUCUUCCCUCCCACCCCUUGAUCUCCUUCGCAUUUUCCUGUUUGUAUUCAACGCGUCCCUGCUUGUGCGAGAAAAGCAAAGAAUCCCACAAAACUCUUUUCUUUAUCCUCUUUCCAGAAAAAUGGGCCAAUUCACAGCUGCAAUCGUUGGGAGAAUUUCCUGUCUGGGAGUCUGGAAACUGCCAAGAGUGGAAAGCUGCAGCCAGCCAGCAAGGGCUCUGUUGUCACUGGCCCAAACAACAACAAAAACAACCGCAACAACAACAACAACAACAAAACAUGCCACGUGUGCACUGGCAUAUACAAACACGCCCACAGAACCAAACCAAGCGGACAAGGCUUCAAGGAGAGCUUCUGGGCGGCUCAUUCCCGUGCACAAGAAACAGAAACGUUCUCGCCUCUUCGCACCCCUCACUUAUCCUGAGAGGUAACAUGAUGAAAAUCAGGGAUCCUAGGAAAGAAAAUGGACAAGUCCCUGAUACUCCAAUAUGUGGAUGCACUCCCGAUAAAUCAUGUAAAUUAUUUUGUCAGCCUUUUACAUUGAAUUUUCAGGUUGUUUUUAGUUUUCUGCAAUUAUAAAUGAUGCUAGAUUGGAUAUUUUUAUACUUGCAUUUUUGUACACCUUUUGACCGUUUCCUAGAAAAGAUCCCAGAAUGGAAUUACAAAUUCAAAGGGUAUAUCCUUUUUUUAAACUCUUAAUCCAUAUGGCAAAAACACUUCCCAAAAAGUAGUGACAAAUUAUAUCCCACGGAGUAUAUUUGGGAAUGCUUAUCCGAUCACACUUUCUCCAGCAUUACUAUACUUUUAAAACCUUUAUUUUAUUAGGCAAAAAUGUAAGUUUUUUCAUUUAACUUUCAUUUUUGGAUUACCAGUGAGGUUAAAUAUAGUUUAUAAGUUUAUUAAUCAAAUGUAUUAAUUAAAAUGAUGCAUAUAAACCUAGUGGAUGCUCAAUAAAGCCUAGUAGAUGCUUAAUUUUUUAAUAAUGAGUUUGAACAUGAUUUCAUGGUUUCUGGCUGUGUACAUUUCUUCUUAGAAUUUUAAAUUUAUUUAUUUUUCUCAUUUCCCUAUUGAAGUUCAGUGGUUUCUCUUAGUGAGCUUUUUACAUAUUAGAUAUACUGAACCUUUGUUUUGAAGAAAUGUCCAGGCUUUGAAAGAUUAUUGUCACUUAUGGAACAAUGGUAUAUAAAGACAUUAUGCUUUACAAAUAUGACACUUUUUAUUUGUCUCACUGAUAAGGAAACUGAGGCUUAAAAUGUGUUAUCUGUUUCCUCUUUUUUAGGUAAAACUUUUUAUACAGUCAAAUGCAUAAGUCUUACAUGUACCAUUUCAUGAAUUCUGACAUAUGUACACACCUGUGUCACACAAGUUUUUAUUAAAAUAUAGAAUAUUGUAACACUGAAAAAUUCUUUUGCAUGCUUUUCUAGUCAAUAUUGCCUUUACCCUAUCCCAACCUUGAGAGGAAACCAUUUUUCUGGUUUAGAACUUCAUAUAAAUGGAAUGAUACAACAUGUACUGUUUUUAAUUCUGGUUUCUUUCACCCAGCACCAUGCCUUGGAGAUUUAGUCAUGCUUUUGUAUCUGUCAAUGGUUUGGGAUAUUAAAAGUAAUGGCAAAAACUACUUUUGCACCAAACCUAUGCAAUGACAUGAGUUGUUGUGGCUGAGUAGUAUUCCAUUGUAUGAAUAUACCAAUUUGUUCAUCCAUUCACCUGUUGAUGGAUAUUUGAGCUACUUCCAAUUUUUUACUAUAACAAAUAAAGCUGACAUAACAUUCUUGUACAAGUAUUUUGUGAAUAAAUGUUUUAUUUCCUCUUGGACUUUAUACAUAGGAUGGAAUUGUUGAGUCAUAGGGUAUGUGCACAUGUAGUUUAAUAAAUAACUGCC
ensembl:lncRNA